UGACAGUACUCCUACGGGGAGGCAGCAGUGGGGGAAUAUUGCACAAUGGGCGCAAGCCUGAUGCAGCCAUGCCGCGUGUGUGAAGAAGGACCUUCGGGUUGUAAAGCACUUUCAGUCGUGAGGAAGGUAGUGUAGUUAAUAGCUGCAUUAUUUGACGUUAGCGACAGAAGAAGCACCGGCUAACUCCGUGCCAGCAGCCGCGGUAAUACGGAGGGGUGCGAGCGUUAAUCGGAAUUACUGGGCGUAAAGCGCAUGCAGGUGGUUUGUUAAGUCAGAUGUGAAAGCCCGGGGCUCAACCUCGGAAUAGCAUUUGAAACUGGCAGACUAGAGUACUGUAGAGGGGGGUAGGAAUUUCAGGUGUAGCGGUGAAAUGCGUAGAGAUCUGAAGGAAUACCGGUGGCGAAGGCGGCCCCCUGGACAGAUACUGACACUCAGAUGCGAAAGCGUGGGGACGCAAACAGGAUUAGAUACCCCUGGUAG
rnacentral:rRNA from 1 species